rnacentral:rRNA from 1 species
CCUACGGGAGGCAGCAGUGAGGAAUAUUGGACAGUGGGCGCAAGCCUGAUCCAGCCAUGCCGCGUGCAGGAAGAAGCAUCUAUGGUGUGUAAACUGCUUUUGUACAGGAAGAAACACUCCCUCGUGAGGGAGCUUGACGGUACUGUAAGAAUAAGGACCGGCUAACUCCGUGCCAGCAGCCGCGGUAAUACGGAGGGUCCGAGCGUUAUCCGGAAUCAUUGGGUUUAAAGGGUCCGUAGGCGGUUUAAUAAGUCAGUGGUGAAAUCUGGUCGCUCAACGAUCAAACGGCCAUUGAUACUGUUAGACUUGAAUUAUAAGGAAGUAACUAGAAUAUGUAGUGUAGCGGUGAAAUGCUUAGAUAUUACAUGGAAUACCAAUUGCGAAGGCAGGUUACUACUUAUGGAUUGACGCUGAUGGACGAAAGCGUGGGGAGCGAACAGGGAUUAGAUACCCUGGUAGUCCACGCCGUAAACGAUGGAUACUAGCUGUUCGGAGCAAUCUGUAGUGGCGUAGACGAAGUAGAGUAAGUAGUACCGACCGUCGGGAGGUAACGGUUCGUCGAAGAAGUAGUUAAACGUUAACGUAAAGUUAGUUAAGUUAGUACGGACGUUGAGGACGUUAGCCGACGGACGACCGACCGACGGGGAGGUUAGGAGG